rnacentral:lncRNA from 1 species
CUUACGCUCUGUGUUUAUAAUUUCUUCAUCCAUAAAAUGAGAUUUAAAAUAUUCCCCAAAAUGACUAAGGCAUUUGGCAUAAUGUCGGUAAACAGUACAUUCUCACUGAACCCUAAUUUCUGUCCUUAUUAUUAAUAUCCCAUCACAGUUCAGCAAGGCCAGGAUAGGAAAAUAAGAAAAGGAAUCCCGUGAAAAUCUACACAGAUGGCAUAUUAAAAGGACAGAAAUAUUUCCAUUUAGGUACUAGCAGAAGGAAGCUUGUAUGCAUUCCAGGGCUUUCUGUUCCCAUUUCUUCUUUGGGGAUACGAUACGGAUAGAGGCCUACAGGAAGAAGACAUUUCCCAGCCUCCUUUCAUCUAUGUUGGGACCGUGUGACCUGUUGUCCACUAGAAUAUUAAAGCAUACAUAUACCAGAGUGUAUGCCUGCAUCAGGCUGAGCCAAUUCAACAAUGGUGCAACUUUCUUGCUCAGUGGAAAAAUGACCAAUUAG